rnacentral:rRNA from 1 species
UACGUAGGGUGCGAGCGUUGUCCGGAAUUAUUGGGCGUAAAGGGCUCGUAGGCGGUUUGUCGCGUCGGGAGUGAAAACCAGGUGCUUAACACCUGGCUUGCUUUCGAUACGGGCAGACUAGAGGUAUGCAGGGGAGAACGGAAUUCCUGGUGUAGCGGUGAAAUGCGCAGAUAUCAGGAGGAACACCGGUGGCGAAGGCGGUUCUCUGGGCAUGACCUGACGCUGAGGCGCGAAAGCGUGGGGAGCAAACAGG